GACAGAGGAUGCAAGCGUUAUCCGGAAUGAUUGGGCGUAAAGCGUCUGUAGGUGGCUUUUUAAGUCCGCCGUCAAAUCCCAGGGCUCAACCCUGGACAGGCGGUGGAAACUACCAAGCUGGAGUACGGUAGGGGCAGAGGGAAUUUCCGGUGGAGCGGUGAAAUGCGUAGAGAUCGGGAAGAAUACCUGUGGCGAAGGCGGCCAGCUGGCCAGAUCCGACACUGAGGCGCGAAAGCGUGGGGACGCAAACAGG
rnacentral:rRNA from 1 species